CAUAGAGAAUGUUUUUGUAUAUUUCGUGUGGAGAAACUAAAGCAAUAAGCAUUUACAAAGUGACAAAGAUCCCCUUUAUAUAGGAGGGGAAUCCCAAGAUAGUAUAAAAUUCAUUAAUUAUAAAGAUAUAGAGAUAGGAUAACUAGAUAACAUCCUGAUUUGGGUUCAGAGUAGUCCACUAGGCUCUACCAGUAUUAGCUGCGUGCCUUGAGAACUCCCCUCUUCUCCAAUAUAGCCGUUGGUCUGCACUGCUCCGAGGUCGAGCAUCGACAGCCCUCGAACCUCGCCCUCAGUCUCGAGCCUUGAGAAGUAUGUUCGCAGGGCAUCAUAACAAUGGGAAAAUUGGACCCUCCAAUUUUGUCAUGCACAAGAUUAUUUGAAGAUUAUAAGCAUUAUGCUACUUCAAACAAGUGAUGAGUAAACUUGUGAAGGUGAAAGGGUAAGCAAAUCGAAGAAAAUAAAUUUCGUCGAAGUUUGACAUUUUAAGAUAAAAUACGGUCCAAGCUAUAAUACUCUAUAUUUAUGAACUAAUAUUAUAUAAGAUACUACAUGACCAUGAUAGUAAAAGUUAUAAAGUAUAUUAAAAGUAAAUAGUAUUUUACGUAAUUUGAGAUAAUUUUUAAUUGUAUGAGUAAUUAGUUAAUUAUUGAAUUAAUGAGGGGUUGACAAAUAAAAUAAGGAAAUGGUGGAUAAUUAUUGAGGUGAACUCAAUAAUUUAACCAAGUGGUGUAGCAGGUAGUGUUCCUGCAUUUGAACACGUACAAUUGCUUUUAACAUGUGCAAUAUAGUUAUAAAGUUAAAAAAUGAAGGUGAGAAUAAUACGUGGAUAUGCAUGCAUAGAAGCAAUACAAUUACAACAUUAAAGGAUAUGUAUCAACUAUUUCCCACCACUUUCUUUCUAUGAUAAGAGCUCAUACAUGCCUUUUCCGUCAAUAUCCACAUACUACAUAUAAGUAAGACAUCCUCGUACCUUAGACGAGAAAACAGUCGUAACUAGUGGUGUGUAUUCGAUUUAUUGAUUCGAUUUUGACUAUUAUUGAUAAUUACUUAUCGAUUAUAGAUUUGUACAUAUGUUUAUUGUUAUCGUUUCAAUAAGAUUUCGAUUUUUUCAAUUUCGAUUUAUCGAUUUUGGGAGCUUAUCGAUUCGGUUAUCAAUUACACCAAUAAAAAAAUUGUGCGAUUCCACGAAAAGUAUAUCGCUAUAAAGGGGCCUGACUGACAUGGACAAAAAGAAGCUAAAAUAAGACGAAUACCAUUUAUAAUAUAAAAAUUAUGUCAACAAGCACAUGCAACAAAACUAAAGUAAGGGAUCAAAUGUAUGCUGCCAAAUUUCCAAUGGUAUUAAAAAAACAAAACAAAACACAUCAUCAUGACUAAUUUUGUUUUCUAUUAAUUUGAACUUCAUUUCCUUGAUCUUUAAAUAUGAUCAUGACUAAUUUUAUUUUCUAUUAAUUUGAACUUCAUUCUCUUGAUCUUUUAAUAUGAUCAUUCCUUAAUAGUGGUAGAGGAAAUAAAAGGGUAAGGGACUUAGGAUAAAGAAAGGAUAUAGAUUAGGAAAAAUAAUAUUGUAUAGCUACUUUCAAAAUAGUAGCGGAAUAUAUAUACAUUCCGUAUGUUAUAUUAAUCUACACAAAUAGGUAAUUACUCAUUUA
rnacentral:lncRNA from 1 species